UACGUAGGGCGCAAGCGUUGUCCGGAAUUAUUGGGCGUAAAGAGCUCGUAGGCGGCCAGUUGCUUCUGCUGUGAAAUCCCGGGGCUCAACCCCGGGCGUGCAGUGGAUACGGGCUGGCUAGAGGCAGGCAGGGGAGAACGGAAUUCCCGGUGUAGCGGUGAAAUGCGCAGAUAUCGGGAGGAACACCGGUGGCGAAGGCGGUUCUCUGGGCCUGUACUGACGCUGAGGAGCGAAAGCGUGGGGAGCGAACAGG
rnacentral:rRNA from 1 species